UGUCAUCCACUUCCGUGUUGACGCCGUCCCUGCAUGAACUGUGCGCUUCACCACCGACCCAUGAUCUAUCCUUAUCCCCUCUUACCAGUUCAUCCUCACCACCGUUCCGAUCUCCGAUCGGUUCCGGCUGCAGCCUCCACCACAUUAGACCUUAGAUCUAGACUCCCCACAAUCUCCCCAGUUCACCUGCAGUUUUGUGCAGCCGCCAUCUGAAACACAGCCGCUACCUAACCCUAGAUUGCUAACCAUUUGAUAGCGCAGAAGCUCCCGCAGCCGCUGGGCCGCUUUGACCGCCUUCCUUGAGUUUUCAUGCAUCGGAGCCAGGUCCAUGACCCAUGUUGAGGUCUUUACCAACGUUCAUUCUGCUGGGUGGGGAGCGAAGUCCUUGGCGUUUACAGGUUUUGGUGAGCUUCGUCUCUUUCUCGUCUCUGUCCUGUGCCCAUGCUGGUGUAUUUUUGCAGUGAUGCGUUUGAUGUUUCUUUUACUGCGGUGGAUGUACACAGGAAAUGAACAAAAUUGAGCCUGGAACCUGGAUGAUUCGUCGAGGACGAGCUGACACCUAUGACUAGGAUCGGAACCUAGAAAGCAAUUAUGUGGCGAGGUCUGGUGGGUGAGGAUUUGCAAGGUGCACUCAUUGUUUCCUUUUACUGCAGGUGGCUGUUGUCACGAACACCACACAAGUGGGGAAUAAGCACUUCGUCAGGGAAAACGUACAGCCAUACAGGACAAAAAUUAUGUUGAGUACAAGACCAGAAGACCAGGAAGGACUUACAAUAUUUGGAUAUAAGCUAUGAACAUAUCUGAAGUCAGAAUAUUAGUAGAAUUAUAUAUAGGAGUCGUUAGAUUGUCAUAUUUUGAAUCAAGAUUGUAAGCUGUGUGUACUCUUCGGAUAAGUCUCAUGUAUUUUGAUAGUAGUUCGAAUAAUAUAAAUUGAAUCGUUUUGUCACCUAAUUCAUUUUUUAUUCUA